UACAGAGGGGGCAAGCGUUGUUCGGAAUUACUGGGCGUAAAGGGCGCGUAGGCGGCCCGCUAAGUCGAACGUGAAAUCCCCGAGCUCAACUCGGGAACUGCGUCCGAUACUGGCGGGCUUGAAUCCGGGAGAGGGAUGCGGAAUUCCAGGUGUAGCGGUGAAAUGCGUAGAUAUCAAGCGGAACACCGGUGGCGAAGGCGGCCUUCUGGACAGUGACUGACGCUGAGACGCGAAAGCGUGGGGAGCAAACAGG
rnacentral:rRNA from 1 species